AUUGAACGCUGGCGGCAUGCUUUACACAUGCAAGUCGAGCGGCAGCGCGGCCUUCGGGCUGGCGGCGAGCGGCGAACGGGUGAGUAAUGCAUCGGAACAUGCCCAGUCGUGGGGGAUAACACUUCGAAAGAAGUGCUAAUACCGCAUACGUCCUGAGGGGGAAAGCGGGGGAUCACAAGACCUCGCGCGAUUGGAGUGGCCGAUGUCAGAUUAGCUAGUUGGUGGGGUAAAGGCCUACCAAGGCGACGAUCUGUAGCUGGUCUGAGAGGAUGAUCAGCCACACUGGGACUGAGACACGGCCCAGACUCCUACGGGAGGCAGCAGUGGGGAAUUUUGGACAAUGGGGGCAACCCUGAUCCAGCCAUUCCGCGUGAGUGAAGAAGGCCUUCGGGUUGUAAAGCUCUUUCGGCAGGAACGAAACGGUGUGCUCUAACAUAGUCCGCUAAUGACGGUACCUGAAGAAGAAGCACCGGCUAACUACGUG
rnacentral:rRNA from 1 species